rnacentral:rRNA from 1 species
CCGUCAGCGAGUAAGCGAAAGUGAUAAGUGAUCCACCUGGGGAGUACGGUCGCAAGAUUGAAACUCAAAGGAAUUGACGGGGGCCCGCACAAGCGGUGGAGCAUGUGGUUUAAUUCGAUGAUACGCGAGGAACCUUACCUGGGCUCAAACGCAUGAUGACGUACGGUGAAAGCUGUAUUUAUUCGGACAUUAUGCGAGGUGCUGCAUGGUUGUUGUCAGCUCGUGCCGUGAGGUGUCGGGUUAAGUUCCAUAACGAGCGCAACCCCUAUCAUUAGUUGCCCUCAGGUCAAGCUGGGGAUUUUAAUGAAACUGCGUAGGCAAGUAGUGGGGAAGGGGGGGAGGAGGUCAAUUCAGCACGGCCCUUACGUUCAGGGCUACACACGUGUUACAAUGGCCAGUACAAAGGGCACAAGCCUGGUGACAGGAUGCUAAUCUCAAAAGCUGGUCUCAGUUCGGAUUGAAGUCUGCAACCCGACUUCGUGAAGUUGGAAUCGCUAGUAAUCGCGCAUCAGCCAUGGCGCGGGGAAUACGUUCCCGGUCUUUGUCCCCCCCCCCCGCCCACCCAUGGAAGGGGGGGGUACCGGAAGUCGGUGAUCCGCCGUAAGGCGGAAGCUGCCCAGGGUAAA